GGGCCCGCACAAGCGGUGGAGCAUGUGGUUUAAUUCGAUGAUACGCGAGGAACCUUACCAGGGCUUAAAUGUAGAGCGACAGAGGUGGAAACACCUCCUUCUUCGGACGGUCUACAAGGUGCUGCAUGGUUGUCGUCAGCUCGUGCUGUGAAGUGUCGGGUUAAGUCCCAUAACGAGCGCAACCCCUAUUUCUAGUUGCCAGCGGUUCGGCCGGGGACUCUAGAGAAACUGCCAGCGUAAGCUGUGAGGAAGGUGGGGAUGACGUCAAAUCAUCACGGCCCUUACGUCCUGGGCCACACACGUGCUACAAUGGUGGAGACAGAGAGUUGCCAACCCGCGAGGGUGAGCUAAUCUUCAAAGCCGGUCUCAGUUCGGAUCGCAGUCUGCAACUCGACUGCGUG
rnacentral:rRNA from 1 species